AUCAUUUGUUAAGAUAGAACCUGUGCGGGAAUGCUCUCUGACUUUCAACUAAAAGUUAAUAGCCUUGGUUUGUGUGUUUCCAGAGGCCCCUUUUUCGACGAUGACCGCUGGUAUCCAUAAUCCGCCAUGAGGGCCUUGACUCGCUGACCUCUGCGAGAAAAUGUCUGGGGACUCUCUUUUCUCAAUGGAGGUAAUAAGUGGAAGCUGGUUCGAGCAGAAGCACGCAUCGUGCUUCAAAUGGAGCACGAUGCGUGUGUAAAAAUAGCAGUUCCAAUAGAUGCCCGACAAAUGAAUCCAUAAGCGAGUAUUGAGUGGACACCAUCUUCAAUUGCAGAUAUAACCAACAAAAGAGCCGAUAUGGCGCGACGCUCGUUUGAACAAAGUGUUAUCUUUAUAGUGCUAUCAAGAAUCAGCUAGCGUGGUGUCAAACGUUUGCCCAUUAUGUCUGGUAACCUUGACCCGAUAUUCGGAUAACUCGUCGACAAGGCUAACGACUCAACCUGACAGAUUACAUCGAGACUGCCUCGAUUUAUGCAUAUGUACGUGGCCACGCCAGCCGUUUGUAUACAUGCAUAGUCGUUGAUUCGCGGAGUACCUACUGAAAAUUCUUCCUAGAUUUAUGGUCCAGGGUCGCGUCUACAUGCCACUCACCAGUGCAAAAAUGAAAUUGCGAUAAUAAUUAUGACAAUUUUAUCGCUAUUCAAGUGCAAGUGUACACGUCACGAUCAAACGUGCACAUUUCAUUCUUAUCUUUGAAUUAUUUCAAUAUUAUCGGGGACUGACUGUAAGCUACUAAUACUACUAAAGGAUAUUUUCCGUUUUACGUACAAAAUUAA